UUCCCCUGAAGUUAUUUGGAUCUGAUUACCACUGCGGGUUUAUUGGUGUUCCUCAACUCCAGUCCACAGACUUUUUGUUGGAACAGGAUGAGGCCGGGGAGGCAUGGCAGCAGGCACCUGAGAGUUCAUCUCCAACAGCAAACGUGAAGCAAAGAACAUGAACUGGAAGUGAGCCUUCUCUUCCAGCCUCUGGUGAGAUGCUGGGUCUGAAACCACCGCCUGCUCAUCUACAGCAGCAUCCACCACACUCCUCGGCUUUGAUCUCCUGCUCCCUCUAAAUUCAGUCACACUGCAGCCAGAGCAGAAUCAUUGUCAGUCCCAAGACUUGCAUGCCGUGGGCCCCAAGGUUCCAAAGAAAAUCUGGCUGGAUCCGAGCAGUCCGGCCAGAAGCAUGAUAACGGAAGUGUC